rnacentral:rRNA from 1 species
AAGUAGUAAUAGUUAUUGUCUUGAAACUUAAAAGAUUUGGCGGUAUUUUAUCUUAUCAGAGGAACCUGUACUGUAAAUGAUAAUCCACGACCUAAUUUACUUUUUUUAAAGUACUUGUAUACCGCUGUCAUGGAUAUACUAGAAAGUUAAAUUUCAAUCAUAUAAAUUUUAUGUUAGGUCAAGGUGCAGUUUAAUAAGAGAGUUAUGGGUUACAAUAAAAGAAUGAAAAAAUAGGAUUUGGUAGUAAUUUUAUAAGGAGAUAGUUGAAUAAAGAUUCUGAAAUAUG